UGGGGAAUUUUCCGCAAUGGGCGAAAGCCUGACGGAGCAACGCCGCGUGAGGGAGGAAGGUCUUUGGAUUGUAAACCUCUUUUCUCAAGGAAGAAGUUCUGACGGUACUUGAGGAAUCAGCCUCGGCUAACUCCGUGCCAGCAGCCGCGGUAAUACGGGGGAGGCAAGCGUUAUCCGGAAUUAUUGGGCGUAAAGCGUCCGCAGGUGGUCAGCCAAGUCUGCUGUCAAAUCAGGUUGCUUAACGACCUAAAGGCGGUGGAAACUGGCAGACUAGAGAGCAGUAGGGGUAGCAGGAAUUCCCAGUGUAGCGGUGAAAUGCGUAGAGAUUGGGAAGAACAUCGGUGGCGAAAGCGUGCUACUGGGCUGUAUCUGACACUCAGGGACGAAAGCUAGGGGAGCG
rnacentral:rRNA from 1 species